CGGGGCGUAGCGCAGCCUGGUAGCGCGCCUGCUUUGGGAGCAGGAUGUCAGAGGUUCAAAUCCUCUCGCCCCGACCA
rnacentral:tRNA from 1 species